UACGUAGGGGGCUAGCGUUGUCCGGAUUUAUUGGGCGUAAAGAGCGUGUAGGCGGCCAUGUAGGUCCGGUGUGAAAACUCGAGGCUUAACCUCGAGAUGUCAUCGGAAACCAUUUGGCUAGAGUCCGGAAGAGGAGAGUGGAAUUCCUGGUGUAGCGGUGAAAUGCGCAGAUAUCAGGAGGAACACCAAUGGCGAAAGCAGCUCUCUGGGACGGUACUGACGCUGAGACGCGAAAGCGUGGGGAGCAAACAGG
rnacentral:rRNA from 1 species